CCUACGGGUGGCAGCAGUGAGGAAUAUUGGUCAAUGGGCGCGAGCCUGAACCAGCCAAGUAGCGUGAAGGAUGACUGCCCUACGGGUUGUAAACUUCUUUUAUAAAGGAAUAAAGUGAGGCACGUGUGCCUUUUUGUAUGUACUUUAUGAAUAAGGAUCGGCUAACUCCGUGCCAGCAGCCGCGGUAAUACGGAGGAUCCGAGCGUUAUCCGGAUUUAUUGGGUUUAAAGGGAGCGUAGAUGGGUUGUUAAGUCAGUUGUGAAAGUUUGCGGCUCAACCGUAAAAUUGCAAUUUAUACUGGCAGCCUUGAGUACAGUUGAGGUAGGCGGAAUUCGUGGUGUAGCGGUGAAAUGCUUAGAUAUCACGCAGAACUCCGAUCGCGAAGGCAGCCUACCGGCGCGCAACUGACGCUCAUGCACGAAAGCGUGGGUAUCGAACAGGAUUAGAUACCCCGGUAGUC
rnacentral:rRNA from 1 species